UAGGGAAUCUUCCACAAUGGGCGAAAGCCUGAUGGAGCAACGCCGCGUGUGUGAUGAAGGGUUUCGGCUCGUACAACACUGUUGUAAGAGAAGAAUGACAUUGAGAGUAACUGUUCAAUGUGUGACGGUAUCUUACCAGAAAGGAACGGCUAAAUACGUGUCAG
rnacentral:rRNA from 1 species